rnacentral:rRNA from 1 species
GAUGAACGCUGGCGGCGUGCCUAACACAUGCAAGUCGAACGGAGAUUACAGACGGAAGUUUUCGGAUGGAAGUCAGUAAUUCUUAGUGGCGGACGGGUGAGUAACGCGUGGGCAACCUGCCCUAUACAGGGGGAUAGCAGCUGGAAACGGCUGGUAAGACCGCAUAAGUCGUUCUGGUCGCAUGACCGGGACGGGAAAUGAGUAAUCAGGUAUAGGAUGGGCCCGCGUCCGAUUAGCCAGUUGGCAGGGUAAGAGCCUACCAAAGCAACGAUCGGUAGCCGGACUGAGAGGUCGGACGGCCACAUUGGGACUGAGACACGGCCCAAACUCCUACGGGAGGCAGCAGUGGGGGAUAUUGCACAAUGGAGGAAACUCUGAUGCAGCGACGCCGCGUGAGUGAAGAAGUAUUUCGGUAUGUAAAGCUCUAUCAGCAGGGAAGAUGAUGACGGUACCUGACUAAGAAGCCCGGCUAAACAA